rnacentral:misc_RNA from 1 species
UAUAACAAGUCGGGUCCUUGGGUCUGCUUGCGGUUUGUUACAAACACAAGCUUACCUUAAAUGAAUUAGCUGGACUUCAGCAGAGUUGUUAAGUAACAUUUUGAACUCUCGUAAUAUGAAGUCUGCUUUCUAACCUAUCUCUUUCGAGAUAAUUUUUCUAUUUUGGCCUCAAAUCAGGUAGGACUACCCGCUGAACUUAA